CUGAGGGAGCCGCGAGGGUCCCUGAUCGCGGUGCAGAAGUCAGCAGAGGGCAUAGUAGGCGACGGACACGAGCCGGUCAUCCGGAGGUCUCACCGCGCUGAAGGCC
rfam:Acidobacteria bacterium RIFCSPLOWO2_02_FTLL_67_21 rifcsplowo2_02_scaffold_7493, whole genome shotgun sequence.